rnacentral:misc_RNA from 1 species
UCUCCGUAGGUGAACCUGCGGAGGGAUCAUUACUGAGUGAGGGCUUCGGUCCGACCUCCAACCCUUUGUGAACCAAACUUGUUGCUUCGGGGGCGACCCUGCCGCUUCGGCGGUGCGGCGCCCCCGGAGGCCAUUAAACACUGCAUCAUUGCGUCGGAGUUAAAGUAAAUUAAACAAAACGUUCGACAACGUAUCUCUUGGUUCCAGCUUCGUUGAAGAACGCAGC